AUAUAAUAUUGUAGUACAUAGAAAAAGAUUUUAUGGUCUCUUUGAUAAAGAUAAGGCCAUGAUAAAUUGUAAAACUAUAAGAUGAAUAUAUACAUAUAUACAUAAAUAUAUACCUACCUACAUAUAUAUAUAUAUAUAUAUAUAUAUAUAUAUAUAUAUAUAUAUGUAUAUAUAUUUGUAAGCUUAUAUGAUAUGUACGUUCAUAUUUAACAUACAUUUACUGAUAUGAGAAGCAUUUUAUAAUUAGAUGGCCUAUUGUUUGAAAGGAUUAUAAAAAGAUUAAGACCUCCCAAGCAACGACGUCAUAAUUUUCAUAUAGGAAAAGUAGUAAUAUUUUAUGAAUAUGGAAAUGAGUUAUAUAUAUGAAUUGAUGAUGUAUUUAAAUAUUUUAUUUUUUAAAAGUGAAAAUUUUGUGCAAAUAUAAUUAAAUGUUAAUAUUCAUAGAAUUGUAAUUAUAGAUUAAUUUCUUUUUUUCUUUUUUUUUUUAACUCAUAUAAAUUAUAAUUAGUGUAUAUAAUUUUUUUUAUGAAAGUUAAUGUAUUAUGCAUAUUAUUAAGUUGUUAUAAUUAAACGUUGGAUGUAGUUAUUUUAGUAGUUUAUAUAUGAAUUAUAUUUUGUAGCACACUUAAAUUAGGAUAUUUUUUAAAAGGCUUAUUAUGGAAGGUACUCUACAAUUUCAGUGUAUAUAAAUUAAGAUAAGCAUAUAUUAAAUUUUAAAUAUUGUUAUGUUUAAAAUUAUAUACUUUAUGAUUUUUAUUAAGUUCUUUAAAAAAAUAAAAAAUGUUUUACUUUAUAUAAUAUGAUACACAAACACACAAAAGAAAAAAGGAAAUAAAAUA
rnacentral:sRNA from 1 species